rnacentral:rRNA from 1 species
GAUGAACGCUGGCGGCGUGCCUAAUACAUGCAAGUCGAGCGAACAGACGAGGAGCUUACUCCUCUGACGUUAGCGGCGGACGGGUGAGUAACACGUGGAUAACCUACCUAUAAGACUGGGAUAACUUCGGGAAACCGGAGCUAAUACCGGAUAAUAUAUUGAACCGCAUGGUUCAAUAGUGAAAGACGGUUUUGCUGUCACUUAUAGAUGGAUCCGCGCCGCAUUAGCUAGUUGGUGAGGUAACGGCUUACCAAGGCAACGAUGCGUAGCCGACCUGAGAGGGUGAUCGGCCACACUGGAACUGAGACACGGUCCAGACUCCUACGGGAGGCAGCAGUAGGGAAUCUUCCGCAAUGGGCGAAAGCCUGACGGAGCAACGCCGCGUGAGUGAUGAAGGUCUUCGGAUCGUAAAACUCUGUUAUUAGGGAAGAACAAAUGUGUAAGUAACUAUGCACGUCUUGACGGUACCUAAUCAGAAAGCCACGGCUAACUACGUG